ACCCACAAGUAGCCUCAGUUCUCAGCGG
rnacentral:piRNA from 1 species